rnacentral:pre_miRNA from 3 species
UCUUAUGGAUGAAUAAAAAAAGUGGUUUCUUAAGAUGGAUUCUACUCCUGGUGAAGAUGCUGUGAA